rnacentral:rRNA from 1 species
GAUGAACGCUGGCGGCGUGCCUAACACAUGCAAGUCGAGCGAUUCUCUUCGGAGAAGAGCGGCGGACGGGUGAGUAACGCGUGGGUAACCUGCCCUGUACACACGGAUAACAUACCGAAAGGUAUGCUAAUACGAGAUGAUAUAUAAAAGUUGCAUGACUUUUAUAUCAAAGCUUUUGCGGUAUAGGAUGGACCCGCGUCUGAUUAGCUAGUUGGUAAGGUAACGGCUUACCAAGGCGACGAUCAGUAGCCGACCUGAGAGGGUGAUCGGCCACACUGGAACUGAGACACGGUCCAGACUCCUACGGGAGGCAGCAGUGGGGAAUAUUGCACAAUGGGCGAAAGCCUGAUGCAGCAACGCCGUGUGAGCGAUGAAGGCCUUCGGGUCGUAAAGCUCUGUCCUCAAGGAAGAUAAUGACGGUACUUGAGGAGGAAGCCCCGGCUAACUACGUGCCAGCAGCCGCGGUAAUACGUAGGGGGCUAGCGUUAUCCGGAAUUACUGGGCGUAAAGGGUGCGUAGGCGGUCUUUCAAGCCAGAAGUGAAAGGCUACGGCUCAACCGUAGUAAGCUUUUGGAACUGUAGGACUUGAGUGCAGGAGAGGAGAGUGGAAUUCCUAGUGUAGCGGUGAAAUGCGUAGAUAUUAGGAGGAACACCAGUAGCGAAGGCGGCUCUCUGGACUGUAACUGACGCUGAGGCACGAAAGCGUGGGGAGCAAACAGGAUUAGAUACCCUGGUAGUCCACGCCGUAAACGAUGAGUACUAGGUGUCGGGGGUUACCCCCCUCGGUGCCGCAGCUAACGCAUUAAGUACUCCGCCUGGGAAGUACGCUCGCAAGAGUGGAACUCAAAGGAAUUGACGGGGACCCGCACAAGUAGCGGAGCAUGUGGUUUAAUUCGAAGCAACGCGGAGAACCUUACCUAAGCUUGACAUCCCAUUGACCUCUCCCUAAUCGGAGAUUUCCCUUCGGGGACAAUGGUGACAGGUGGUGCAUGGUUGUCGUCAGCUCGUGUCGUGAGAUGUUGGGUUAAGUCCCGCAACGAGCGCAACCCUUGCCUUUAGUUGCCAGCAUUAAGUUGGGCACUCUAGAGGGACCGCCGAGGAUAACUCGGAGGAAGGUGGGGAUGACGUCAAAUCAUCAUGCCCCUUAUGCUUAGGGCUACACACGUGCUACAAUGGGUGGUACAGAGGGUUGCCAAACCGUGAGGUGGAGCUAAUCCCUUAAAGCCAUUCUCAGUUCGGAUUGUAGGCUGAAACUCGCCUACAUGAAGCUGGAGUUACUAGUAAUCGCAGAUCAGAAUGCUGCGGUGAAUGCGUUCCCGGGUCU